GUGGAUGUAGCUCAGUCGGUUAGAGCGCUAGUUUGUGGCACUAGAGGUCGUCGGUUCGAUCCCGAUCUUCCACC
rnacentral:tRNA from 1 species